CCUACGGGUGGCAGCAGUGGGGAAUAUUGGACAAUGGGGGGAACCCUGAUCCAGCCAUGCCGCGUGUGUGAAGAAGGCCCUCGGGUUGUAAAGCACUUUCAGUGAGGAAGAACGCCUUGUGGUUAAUACCCAUCAGGAAAGACAUCACUCACAGAAGAAGCACCGGCUAACUCCGUGCCAGCAGCCGCGGUAAUACGGAGGGUGCGAGCGUUAAUCGGAAUUACUGGGCGUAAAGCGCGCGUAGGUGGCUUGAUAAGCCGGUUGUGAAAGCCCCGGGCUCAACCUGGGAACGGCAUCCGGAACUGUCAAGCUAGAGUGCAGGAGAGGAAGGUAGAAUUCCCGGUGUAGCGGUGAAAUGCGUAGAGAUCGGGAGGAAUACCAGUGGCGAAGGCGGCCUUCUGGACUGACACUGACACUGAGGUGCGAAAGCGUGGGUAGCAAACAGGAUUAGAUACCCUGGUAGUC
rnacentral:rRNA from 1 species